AGCAGCAUGGCGCAGUUGGAAGCGCGCAGGGCCCAUAACCCUGAGGUCACUUGAUCGAAACAAGUUGCUGCUA